rfam:Felis catus isolate Cinnamon breed Abyssinian chromosome A1, whole genome shotgun sequence.
GCCUGGGUGGCUCAGUUGAUUAAGCAUCUGACUUCAGCUCAGGUCAUGAUCUCACUAUUUGUGGGUUCGAGCCCCGCAUCUGGCU